UACGUAGGGACCGAGCGUUGUCCGGAUUCAUUGGGCGUAAAGAGCUCGUAGGCGGCUGUUCAAGUCGAACGUGAAAACUCGGAGCUCAACUCCGAGCCUGCGUUCGAUACUGGACGGCUAGAGUCUGGUAGGGGGAUCUGGAAUUCCUGGUGUAGCGGUGAAAUGCGCAGAUAUCAGGAAGAACACCGAUGGCGAAGGCAGCCCCCUGGGCCAACACUGACGCUCAGGCACGAAAGCGUGGGGAGCAAACAGG
rnacentral:rRNA from 1 species